UACAGAGGGCGCGAGCGUUGUCCGGAAUCACUGGGCGUAAAGGGCGCGUAGGUGGCCACCAUAAGGCCGCGGUGAAAGUUCGGGGCUCAACCCCGGAUCGGCCGCGGCGACUGUGGGGCUCGGGUACUGUAGAGGCAGAUGGAAUUCCGGGUGUAGCGGUGGAAUGCGUAGAGAUCCGGAAGAACACCAGUGGCGAAGGCGGUCUGCUGGGCAGUGGGCUCGAAAGGGGCCCUUUAACCGGACACUGAGGCGCGACAGCCGUGGGGAGCAAACAGG
rnacentral:rRNA from 1 species